rnacentral:rRNA from 1 species
GGGUUGUGAGGUUAAGCGACUAAGCGUACACGGUGGAUGCCCUGGCAGUCAGAGGCGAUGAAGGACGUGCUAAUCUGCGAAAAGCGCCGGUAAGGUGAUAUGAACCGUUAUAGCCGGCGAUGUCCGAAUGGGGAAACCCAGUGUGACUCGUCACACUAUCAUUAACUGAAUCCAUAGGUUAAUGAGGCGAACCGGGGGAACUGAAACAUCUAAGUACCCCGAGGAAAAGAAAUCAACCGAGAUUCCCCCAGUAGCGGCGAGCGAACGGGGAGGAGCCCAGAGUCUGAAUCAGCUUGUGUGUUAGUGGAAGCGUCUGGAAAGUCGCGCGAUACAGGGUGACAGCCCCGUACACAAAAGCACACAGGCUGUGAGCUCGAUGAGUAGGGCGGGACACGUGGUAUCCUGUCUGAAUAUGGGGGGACCAUCCUCCAAGGCUAAAUACUCCUGACUGACCGAUAGUGAACCAGUACCGUGAGGGAAAGGCGAAAAGAACCCCGGCGAGGGGAGUGAAAAAGAACCUGAAACCGUGUACGUACAAGCAGUGGGAGCCUCUUGAUGGGGUGACUGCGUACCUUUUGUAUAAUGGGUCAGCGACUUAUAUUCUGUAGCAAGGUUAACCGAAUAGGGGAGCCGAAGGGAAACCGAGUCUUAACUGGGCGUUAAGUUGCAGGGUAUAGACCCGAAACCCGGUGAUCUAGCCAUGGGCAGGUUGAAGGUUGGGUAACACUAACUGGAGGACCGAACCGACUAAUGUUGAAAAAUUAGCGGAUGACCUGUGGCUGGGGGUGAAAGGCCAAUCAAACCGGGAGAUAGCUGGUUCUCCCCGAAAGCUAUUUAGGUAGCGCCUCGUGAAUUCAUCUCCGGGGGUAGAGCACUGUUUCGGCUAGGGGGCCAUCCCGGCUUACCAACCCGAUGCAAACUACGAAUACCGGAGAAUGUUAUCACGGGAGACACACGGCGGGUGCUAACGUCCGUCGUGAAGAGGGAAACAACCCAGACCGCCAGCUAAGGUCCCAAAGUCAUGGUUAAGUGGGAAACGAUGUGGGAAGGCCCAGACAGCCAGGAUGUUGGCUUAGAAGCAGCCAUCAUUUAAAGAAAGCGUAAUAGCUCACUGGUCGAGUCGGCCUGCGCGGAAGAUGUAACGGGGCUAAACCAUGCACCGAAGCUGCGGCAGCGACACUAUGUGUUGUUGGGUAGGGGAGCGUUCUGUAAGCCUGCGAAGGUGGCCUGUGAGGGUUGCUGGAGGUAUCAGAAGUGCGAAUGCUGACAUAAGUAACGAUAAAGCGGGUGAAAAGCCCGCUCGCCGGAAGACCAAGGGUUCCUGUCCAACGUUAAUCGGGGCAGGGUGAGUCGACCCCUAAGGCGAGGCCGAAAGGCGUAGUCGAUGGGAAACAGGUUAAUAUUCCUGUACUUGGUGUUACUGCGAAGGGGGGACGGAGAAGGCUAUGUUAGCCGGGCGACGGUUGUCCCGGUUUAAGCGUGAAGGUGUGUGCUCCAGGCAAAUCCGGAGUGCUUUAACACUGAGGCGUGAUGACGAGGCACUACGGUGCUGAAGUAACAAAUGCCCUGCUUCCAGGAAAAGCCUCUAAGCUCCAGGUAACACGAAAUCGUACCCCAAACCGACACAGGUGGUCAGGUAGAGAAUACCAAGGCGCUUGAGAGAACUCGGGUGAAGGAACUAGGCAAAAUGGUGCCGUAACUUCGGGAGAAGGCACGCUGAUAUGUAGGUGAAGCGACUUGCUCGUGGAGCUGAAAUCAGUCGAAGAUACCAGCUGGCUGCAACUGUUUAUUAAAAACACAGCACUGUGCAAACACGAAAGUGGACGUAUACGGUGUGACGCCUGCCCGGUGCCGGAAGGUUAAUUGAUGGGGUCAUCCGUAAGGAGAAGCUCUUGAUCGAAGCCCCGGUAAACGGCGGCCGUAACUAUAACGGUCCUAAGGUAGCGAAAUUCCUUGUCGGGUAAGUUCCGACCUGCACGAAUGGCGUAAUGAUGGCCAGGCUGUCUCCACCCGAGACUCAGUGAAAUUGAACUCGCUGUGAAGAUGCAGUGUACCCGCGGCAAGACGGAAAGACCCCGUGAACCUUUACUAUAGCUUGACACUGAACACUGGUCCUUGAUGUGUAGGAUAGGUGGGAGGCUUUGAAGCGUGGACGCCAGUCUGCGUGGAGCCAUCCUUGAAAUACCACCCUUUAAUGGCUGGUGUUCUAACGUGGACCCGUAAUCCGGGUUGCGGACAGUGUCUGGUGGGUAGUUUGACUGGGGCGGUCUCCUCCUAAAGCGUAACGGAGGAGCACGAAGGUCAGCUAAUCCUGGUCGGACAUCAGGAGGUUAGUGCAAUGGCAUAAGCUGGCUUGACUGCGAGCGUGACGGCGCGAGCAGGUGCGAAAGCAGGUCAUAGUGAUCCGGUGGUUCUGAAUGGAAGGGCCAUCGCUCAACGGAUAAAAGGUACUCCGGGGAUAACAGGCUGAUACCGCCCAAGAGUUCAUAUCGACGGCGGUGUUUGGCACCUCGAUGUCGGCUCAUCACAUCCUGGGGCUGAAGUAGGUCCCAAGGGUAUGGCUGUUCGCCAUUUAAAGUGGUACGCGAGCUGGGUUUAGAACGUCGUGAGACAGUUCGGUCCCUAUCUGCCGUGGGCGCUGGAGAAUUGAGGGGGGCUGCUCCUAGUACGAGAGGACCGGAGUGGACGCAUCACUGGUGUUCGGGUUGUCAUGCCAAUGGCACUGCCCGGUAGCUAAAUGCGGAAGAGAUAAGUGCUGAAAGCAUCUAAGCACGAAACUUGCCCCGAGAUGAGUUCUCCCUGAGCCUUUAAGUCUCCUGAAGGAACGUUGAAGACGACGACGUUGAUAGGCCGGGUGUGUAAGCGCAGCGAUGCGUUGAGCUAACCGGUACUAAUGAACCGUGAGGCUUAACCUUACAACGCCGAAG